rnacentral:piRNA from 1 species
UAGAUGAAAGAGUGUUCUGGAAUUUUGGA